CAGUCGAGGGGCAGCAUGGUCUUAGCUUGCUAAGACUGAUGGCGACCGGCGCACGGGUGAGUAACACGUAUCCAACCUGCCGUCUACUCUUGGACAGCCUUCUGAAAGGAAGAUUAAUACAAGAUGGCAUCAUGAGUCCGCAUGUUCACAUGAUUAAAGGUAUUCCGGUAGACGAUGGGGAUGCGUUCCAUUAGAUAGUAGGCGGGGUAACGGCCCACCUAGUCUUCGAUGGAUAGGGGUUCUGAGAGGAAGGUCCCCCACAUUGGAACUGAGACACGGUCCAAACUCCUACGGGAGGCAGCAGUGAGGAAUAUUGGUCAAUGGGCGAGAGCCUGAACCAGCCAAGUAGCGUGAAGGAUGACUGCCCUAUGGGUUGUAAACUUCUUUUAUAAAGGAAUAAAGUCGGGUAUGCAUACCCGUUUGCAUGUACUUUAUGAAUAAGGAUCGGCUAACUCCGUGCCAGCAGCCGCGGUAAUACGGAGGAUCCGAGCGUUAUCCGGAUUUAUCGGGUUUAAAGGGAGCGUAGAUGGAUGUUUAAGUCAGUUGUGAAAGUUUGCGGCUCAACCGUAAAAUUGCAGUUGAUACUGGAUAUCUUGAGUGCAGUUGAGGCAGGCGGAAUUCGUGGUGUAGCGGUGAAAUGCUUAGAUAUCACGAAGAACUCCGAUUGCGAAGGCAGCCUGCUAAGCUGCAACUGACAUUGAGGCUCGAAAGUGUGGGUAUCAAACA
rnacentral:rRNA from 1 species